UAUAUAUUCCCUCCGUCCCAAAAUCCUUGUCUUAAAUUUGUCUAGAUACGGAUGUAUCUAAUACUAAAACAUGACUUGAUACAUCCGUAUUUAGACAAAUCUAAGACAAGAAUUCUGGGACGGAGGAAGUAUUAC
rnacentral:pre_miRNA from 1 species